AGAGUUUGAUCAUGGCUCAGAACGAACGCUGGCGGCGUGCCUAACACAUGCAAGUCGAGCGCGAAUGGAGCAAUCCUAGUAGAGCGGCGCACGGGUGCGUAACACGUGGAUAAUCUGCCUGGGUGUCUGGGAUAACCAGUCGAAAGAUUGGCUAAUACCGGAUAAGCCCCCGGGAGCUUCGGCUCCUGAGGGAAAAGGUGGCCUCUGUAUACAAGCUAUCACAUCCAGAUGAGUCCGCGGCCCAUCAGCUAGUUGGCGGGGUAAUGGCCCACCAAGGCAACGACGGGUAGCUGGUCUGAGAGGACGAUCAGCCACACUGGAACUGAGACACGGUCCAGACUCCUACGGGAGGCAGCAGCGGGGAAUUUUGCGCAAUGGGCGAAAGCCUGACGCAGCAACGCCGCGUGUGUGAUGAAGGUCUUCGGAUUGUAAAGCACUUUCGACCGGGACGAAAACCCGUUGGCUAACAUCCAGCGGCUUGACGGUACCGGGAGAAGAAGCACCGGCUAACUCUGUGCCAGCAGCCGCGGUAAUACAGAGGGUGCAAGCGUUGUUCGGAAUUAUUGGGCGUAAAGCGCGUGUAGGCGGCUUUGCAAGUCGGGUGUGAAAGCCCUCAGCUCAACUGAGGAAGUGCGCCCGAAACUGCAGAGCUUGAGUGCCGGAGAGGGUGGCGGAUUCCCCAAGUAGAGGUGAAAUUCGUAGAUAUGGGGAGGAACACCGGUGGCGAAGGCGGCCACCUGGACGGUAACUGACGCUGAGACGCGAAAGCGUGGGGAGCAAACAGGAUUAGAUACCCUAGUAGUCC
rnacentral:rRNA from 1 species